UAUUGGUCUAACAUUUGCUUAGAAUAAGAGGGGAGAAUGAUUUUAUAAACAUUUUAAAUAUUGUAUCAGUAACCUUUUUUUUUUUUGACAGAUCCUUCUUAACAGUCAGAGCUGAUAUAACUGGAAGAUAUUCUAAUAGACUGUAUACAUAUGAACCUCAGGACUCACCAGCAUGGCUGACUUACUGCUGAGGACUAGGAGAAUAAUGUUAUUACAGAAUGAGUCACCUGGAAAACACAGGCAAACAGAAGAAGACUGAGAACAUAAGUACGUGUUACUCUUUCAUUGGUACUUUAAGGAU
rnacentral:lncRNA from 1 species